rnacentral:rRNA from 1 species
GACGAACGCUGGCGGCGUGCUUAACACAUGCAAGUCGAACGGAAAGGCCCUGCUUUUGUGGGGUGCUCGAGUGGCGAACGGGUGAGUAACACGUGAGUAACCUGCCCUUGACUUUGGGAUAACUUCAGGAAACUGGGGCUAAUACCGGAUAGGAGCUCCUGCUGCAUGGUGGGGGUUGGAAAGUUUCGGCGGUUGGGGAUGGACUCGCGGCUUAUCAGCUUGUUGGUGGGGUAGUGGCUUACCAAGGCUUUGACGGGUAGCCGGCCUGAGAGGGUGACCGGCCAAAUGGGGACGGAGAGACGGCCCAGACCCCGAGGGGGGGGAGGAGGGGGGAAUAUUGCAAAAGGGGCGGAAGCCUGAGGCAGAAACGCCGGGGGCGGGAGGACGGCCUUGGGGUGGUAAACCGCUUUCGCCUGGGACGAAGGGGGAGGGACGGUAAUGGGUAAAGAAACCCCGGUUAACUACGU